UACGUAGGGGGCUAGCGUUGUCCGGAAUCAUUGGGCGUAAAGCGCGUGUAGGCGGCCCGAUAAGUCCGCUGUGAAAGUCCAGGGCUCAACCCUGGGGUGCCGGUGGAUACUGUCGGGCUCGAGUCCGGAAGAGGCGAGUGGAAUUCCGUGGUGUAGCGGUGAAAUGCGCAGAUAUCAGGAAGAACACCCGUGGCUAAGGCGGCUCUCUAGUACGGUACUGACGCUGAGACGCGAAAGCGUGGGGAGCGAACAGG
rnacentral:rRNA from 1 species